AAUUAAGCACACGAGUAGUAAUAAAAAAAACGAAAAUAUUUUUAAAAAAAAUUUCUAAAGUUGGAAAUUCACAUUGAACGCGUUAAAACCUUGAGAGACAUUAAAUAGCUAAAAAAAAACAGGGAAAAGAAAGGUUUUGAAAAAUAGAAAAAAAAAACAUAAAGAAUUUAGAAAAUUAAGUGAAUUUUAAACCAGGGGAUUUAAAGCAAUUAGAAUUUUGCUUUUAACAAAAAAAAAUAAUAAAAAAAAAAUAUUUUACAAAAAUUUUUAUUAAAUUUACUCAAUUAACUUUUAUAUAUUUCUUAAAUUAUUAAACAAAAAGAGUUUUCUAGAGUUCCAAAUAUAAUCUAGUGAUAACACAACAAAAUAAGUAAUAAAAAAAACGCUAUAAAAAAGUAUUAAAAAAUAUAAAACAAAAUUCAACAAAAACCAAAAAUAGUAAAAAAACUAAAUAAAUAACAAAAGAAAUUAUUAAUUAAUAAAAAAAAAUUAUAAAACUUAAGUAAAAUAAUACCUCAUCGCAAAAAAAAGACAUACCACUUAAGCAUAA